CCAGUCAUUCUAGUGCUGAUGCAUUACACCAGAGACCCCGACUAUUCAACCAGUGUCAGAAGAUGGUCUGAAACCUUUCAGAACGUCGUGUUGGAUGUUCACGUUCUCUUCCACGAGACUCAGCCGGGAUCACUGCUCUGUUCAGGAAAUGAUCAGGCCGUCAAACUAAUACAGGAAGAGUUAAAGAAACGUUGUAGGUGGUGGUAAUGAUCUUUGUUCUAGUUUUAGUGGCUUAAUUGGUAAAUUUGAAGCAUCAAGCAACAGAACAGCCCUUAUUAAUUAUUGAAGCCAGAGAAGAAAAGUUUUUUUUUAUUUCCUCCUGAAAUAGUUAAAAUAUAAUCAAUGAUCAUAGAUGUCAAAUGUUCUUCAUGAAUAUUCUGCUGUAUAAAACUUUAUCUAAGAGGUUCAGCAGUUU